UAGGGAAUCUUCGGCAAUGGACGAAAGUCUGACCGAGCAACGCCGCGUGAGUGAAGAAGGUUUUCGGAUCGUAAAACUCUGUUGUUAGAGAAGAACAAGGACGUUAGUAACUUAACGUCCCCUGACGGUAUCUAACCAGAAAGCCACGGCUAACUACGUGCCAGCAGCCGCGGUAAUACGUAGGUGGCAAGCGUUGUCCGGAUUUAUUGGGCGUAAAGCGAGCGCAGGCGGUUUCUUAAGUCUGAUGUGAAAGCCCCCGGCUCAACCGGGGAGGGUCAUUGGAAACUGGGAGACUUGAGUGCAGAAGAGGAGAGUGGAAUUCCAUGUGUAGCGGUGAAAUGCGUAGAUAUAUGGAGGAACACCAGUGGCGAAGGCGGCUCUCUGGUCUGUAACUGACGCUGAGGCUCGAAAGCGUGGGGAGCAAACAGG
rnacentral:rRNA from 2 species